rnacentral:rRNA from 1 species
AUUGAACGCUGGCGGCAGGCCUAACACAUGCAAGUCGAGCGAGCGGCGGACGGGUGAGUAAUGUAUGGGGACUGCCCGAUAGAGGGGGAUAACUACUGGAAACGGUGGCUAAUACCGCAUACUAUCGGAUAACCCAUAUGGGAUUAGCUAGUAGGUGGGGUAAAGGCUCUCCUAGGCGACGAUCACUAGCUGGUCUGAGAGGAUGUACGCCAAAACGGGAACUGAGACACGGCCCGGACUCCUACGGAGGAAGCGGUGGGGAAUAUUGCACAAUGGGCGCAAGCCUGAUGCAGCCAUGCCGGGUGUAGAAAGAGGGCCUUAGGGUUGUAAAGUACUUUCAGCGGGGAGGCGUUACCCGCAGAAGAAGCACCGGCUAACUCCGUGCCAGCAGCCGCGGUAAUUC